rnacentral:rRNA from 1 species
CCUACGGGAGGCAGCAGUGGGGAAUAUUGCACAAUGGGGGAAACCCUGAUGCAGCGACGCCGCGUGAGCGAAGAAGUAUUUCGGUAUGUAAAGCUCUAUCAGCAGGGAAGAAAAUGACGGUACCUGAGUAAGAAGCUCCGGCUAAAGACGUGCCAGCAGCCGCGGUAAUACGUAGGGAGCAAGCGUUAUCCGGAUUUACUGGGUGUAAAGGGAGCGCAGGCGGCCUUGCAAGUCUGAUGUGAAAGACCGGGGCUCAACCCCGGAGUUGCAUUGGAAACUGUGAGGCUGGAGUGUCGGUGAGGCAGGCGGAAUUCGUGGUGUAGCGGUGAAAUGCGUAGAUAUUAGGAGGAACCCCAGUUGCGAAGGCGGCCUGCUGGACGAUGACUGACGCUGAGGCUCGAAAGCGUGGGGAGCAAACAGGAUUAGAUACCCGUGUAGUC